AAUUGAAACGGCAAUGGCUUUGUUGCUAAUAUGGAAAUAGAAGAACUCACUAGGAAGCGAUUUUGUAACUGAAUUGCAAUGAAAUUUUAGUCCAUUGCUAAUUUAAAAAAAAUAACAAACCCUAACUUUCUAUUAGCUUGUCAUUCCCUCUCUCCCUUUUCCUCUCUCCUCUCUCUCUCUCACAACCCUACCCUACCCCAUGUGACCCCGCCACCUUGGUGCAUCGUCCCUCCACACCACCGUCCCACC
rnacentral:lncRNA from 1 species